CAGGCCAUUAUGCCAAGUGGUUAGAAAUGUGGAGGUGCAAACUUUGUCCAGUAGAAUUUAUAACCUCUGGGAAAGACAAGAAGAAACAACAUGAACACAUAUAACUCACACAGACGGGAUUUGUGCUACUCACACUAACCAUGGUAUGAUCAGAAUAGGAUCAGAGACACAAGGAAGAUUUAUUGAAGGGGUUGCUCCAGCAAAUAUUUUGGAAAAAGGACCCCAGGCAGAGAGAAAGGAGCCAGGUAACCUGCAGGUGUCGAAGGGCAGUAAGCCAACGUUGAACUGCCCUCAUUGUCAUUUUUCAGGCUGUUCUUAUUCUACUGGCUAGUUCAGAGCAGCCAUUAGAGCAAGAGGGAUGAAGAUCUUGGAUUUAUGAAAUGGAACAGAACUGUCUAAAACAAGCAAGGUUCCCAGACAACUGUCUCAGUGGUCUCAGCACUUACUUCUCUGAUGGAGGAGCAUCAUUCUUGAACUGCUAUUAGUGUGGGUCACAGCAACUGCAUGAGGCAAUUGCCCAGCAAACCAAAGAUUACAGCACCUGCCAGUAAAUCUAUCGGGCAACAAAGCUGAGAAUGAGGGCAGGCAGCGGAACCACUGAGCUAAAUCCCCGGCCCUGCUUUUGUUUGGUUUGGAGGCAUGGGGAACAGUGAUGAGGUGUUGUACAAGUCAGCACCAUCCAGAAAAUACCAAAGACUCUAAAAGCAACGAAAUCCAACAUGACAAUAACAACACAAAAUGGAAGAGAGGACACUGAAUUUGAUGGAUUGAAAAUUAUGGGAAGAGUUUUGGUUGAAAAAUCUCCAGAUGGCAAGGACUUCUUCCAUGACUACUGACUGGAGCAUUUCACCAAGGCAGGAAAAAUGCAUUGAUGAGAGGCGAACUGGGAUCCUUGAAGAACUCUGAAAUGACUCCUCUGAAGGUGGGAGAUGGCAGUGAUGCUGCUGCAGAGGAACUGGUUUCCCUAGUUUUAAGAGGAGUAGUAGAGACCAGCCUAUCUUUUUCAGUCUAACUUUCGUGGCCCUGGCUGAAGAACCUAGGAUGCAGAGAGAAAAGGUGUUUUUUUCUUCUAUACUAUCCAUACACCAAGAGCAAGGAGCUGACAGUGCAGAUACAUGAGUAAUACAGCUACAGACAGUGACAGCCAAGAGAAAUGGCCCCUCAUGGGUCAACCUACGUUUCUGUGGCUGUGCUCUGUUGUUUAAAUACGGACAUUUGUAGUACCCAGGAUUGAGCACAUAACUGCCUUGGUGGAAACUCGGAAUGAUUCUGACCUCUCUGGUUUUGCCCUAUGCGGUGGGGACUAUGCAGGAGCCAUCAGAAAUGAAGACCCAAAGAGAGAAGGAACCUGUAUAUUUUUAUGUUGGAUUUUAUGAAGAAGUGGAUAUAGUGGUGGAGAAGCAUGAUUGGACAAAGAGGCCAUGAUCUACUGGCGAUGAACUGCGAGGGACUUAGCAAGGCCCAUGUGUCCAGAUUCUCUGUCCCCUUGUCUUUAGAGAUAAGGUGCCCCCCUUUCUCUCUUCCUCUCUCUCUCUGUAGUUGCUGAAGAGGGCACCUCUUGAAUGAGAGUUUUAGAGGAGAAGGGUAAGAGAAAAGUGAGAGUGACCUUCCUGCUGUUCUCUCAAGUGCCAGGGUGCCAUAUUCUGGGGGUAGUAUUGAGGUAGGAGAUUAGGGGAGGAAAAACUGGUCAAACAACUACGAAGAGCUUGGCAGUCCUGAAGACCCAGGGCACAUUCACAGAACACAGAAUUCAGGUUGACUAUACAGUUCCCAACCCUGCAGGUGGGACCAAUCAAAAAAGUGCCAUUUUCAAUUCUUCAUUUAUACCUGACACAAAACCAAGCAGGCCUUUGAUAGGACAGCUUAAUUCUGAUGUCAGGCCAAGUGAGUUACUGAUAGCACAACCUUCCCAAAUGCCUUGUUUGCAAGGUGGGAAGCAACCUAGGAAUUCAUAUACAAAAGAGCUCUGUCAUUAUCCUUGUGGCAACUGUGAGUUCAUACACUAGCCAGCUCUCACUCUGCAGAGCAUAUUUCUUUUCCACCUUUAAUAAAUGUAAAUUCUUACUACCUUUUUAUCACAUGUCUGUCCAGUUCUUUGUUCAGAACAUCAAAAGCCUGGAAAGAAUCUCUUUGGGACCCAAAAGCUGGUAACAUUUUGUUCUGGCCCCACCAAAGCCAAUCCCAGGGCAUGUGGGCCAACCUACCGAUGCUCUUUCCUCUGUCUCACAAUUAGGGUUCUAAUGUCAGCUCCUUGACUCUGAACCCAGGCUCAGGACCCCCAGACUCAG
rnacentral:lncRNA from 1 species